rnacentral:rRNA from 1 species
UACGUAGGGUGCGAGCGUUGUCCGGAAUUAUUGGGCGUAAAGAGCUCGUAGGCGGUGUGUCACGUCGGCCGUGAAAACCCUGCAGCUUAACUGUGGGCGUGCGGUCGAUACGGGCAUCACUGGAGUUCGGCAGGGGAGACUGGAAUUCCUGGUGUAGCGGUGGAAUGUGUAGAGAUCGGGAGGAACACCGGUGGCGAAGGCGGUGAGCUGGGCAGUAGCUGACACUGAGGCGCGACAGCGUGGGGAGCAAACAGG